GUCAGUGUCUCCACAAGGUUAAGAAUGUGUCUGUCAGAUGAUCUGGGAAGACCUACCAUUACCCUUUGCUAAAGGGCCCCCAUCCCACCUCACGUUCCAGUUCUGAAUUUGCCAAGUGGAAGAGCAGGCCCUGGGAAGAAACAAAACCAUAAAAACUACUGGAUGAUUUCCACUGAAGCAGGCUCUGACGCCCUCAUGAACAUCGUUCUCAUCUCAAAUAAAUAAAAUAAAAUAAAAUGCAGCGGGGGCUUGAACUAGCCACCAUAUCCCUGAGA